rnacentral:rRNA from 1 species
CCUACGGGAGGCAGCAGUGAGGAAUAUUGGUCAAUGGCCGUAAGGCUGAACCAGCCAAGUCGCGUGAAGGAAGAAGGAUCUAUGGUUUGUAAACUUCUUUUAUAGGGGAAUAAAGGUAUCCACGUGUGGAUAUUUGCAUGUACCCUAUGAAUAAGCAUCGGCUAACUCCGUGCCAGCAGCCGCGGUAAUACGGAGGAUGCGAGCGUUAUCCGGAUUUAUUGGGUUUAAAGGGUGCGUAGGUUGUUUGUUAAGUCAGCGGUGAAAGGUUGUGGCUCAACCGUAAAAUUGCCGUUGAAACUGGAAGGCGUGAGUGUAUUUGAGGUAGGCGGAAUGCGUGGUGUAGCGGUGAAAUGCAUAGAGAUCACGCAGAACUCCGAUUGCGAAGGCAGCUUACUAAGCCAUAACUGACACUGAAGCACGAAAGCGUGGGGAUCAAACAGGAUUAGAUACCCGGGUAGUC